rnacentral:rRNA from 1 species
GAUGAACGCUGGCGGCGUGCCUAAUACAUGCAAGUCGAGCGAACAGACGAGGAGCUUGCUCCUCUGACGUUAGCGGCGGACGGGUGAGUAACACGUGGAUAACCUACCUAUAAGACUGGGAUAACUUCGGGAAACCGGAGCUAAUACCGGAUAACAUGCUGAACCGCAUGGUUCAACAGUGAAAGACGGUGUUGCUGUCACUUAUAGAUGGAUCCGCGUCGCAUUAGCUAGUUGGUAAGGUAACGGCUUACCAAGGCAACGAUGCGUAGCCGACCUGAGAGGGUGAUCGGCCACACUGGAACUGAGACACGGUCCAGACGCCUACGGGAGGCAGCAGUAGGGAAUCUUCCGCAAUGGGCGAAAGCCUGACGGAGCAACGCCGCGUGAGUGAAGAAGGUCUUCGGAUCGUAAAACUCUGUUAUUAGGGAAGAACAAAUGUGUAAGUAACUAUGCACGUCUUGACGGUACCUAAUCAGAAAGCCACGGCUAACUACGUG